CAGCAGCCACGGGAAUACGAAGGGGGCUAGCGUUGUUCGGAUUUACUGGGCGUAAAGCGCACGUAGGCGGAUAUUUAAGUCAGGGGUGAAAUCCCAGAGCUCAACUCUGGAACUGCCUUUGAUACUGGGUAUCUUGAGUAUGGAAGAGGUGAGUGGAAUUCCGAGUGUAGAGGUGAAAUUCGUAGAUAUUCGGAGGAACACCAGUGGCGAAGGCGGCUCACUGGUCCAUUACUGACGCUGAGGUGCGAAAGCGUGGGGAGCAAACAGGAUUAGAUACCCCCGUAGUCCCUGUCUCUUAUCA
rnacentral:rRNA from 1 species